UACGGAGGGGGCUAGCGUUGUUCGGAAUUACUGGGCGUAAAGCGCGCGCAGGCGGCUUGGCGCGCCGACGUGAAAGCCCCCGGCUUAACCGGGGGAGAGUCGUCGGGGACGGCCGGGCUUGAGGGCGGGAGAGGGUGGUGGAAUUCCCGGUGUAGUGGUGAAAUGGCGUAGAGAUCGGGAGGAACACCUGUGGCGAAGGCGGCCACCUGGGCCGACC
rnacentral:rRNA from 1 species